GUUUGAUCGUGGUAAUGGAAGUAACAUAAAUUGUAUUCCAAUAAAUUUGAUUGGAAUUGUCAAUCUGUGUGAUCAGACUGUAAAAAAUCAAAAUUUUAUAGAACACAGUUAAAUAAUCGUUCUAACGAUGAAAUGUUUCCUGUUUGUAAAUAUUUAUCGCCAAUAAAGUAUAAAACAAGCUUUAAUUUAAGAUAUAUAUAAAAGUGUCAGAAUUUCCGGAACACUUUCAAAAGUUAAGUUGAAAAAGUUGUCAUUUUGAUUCCCCAUUUGGAGCAAGUAAAGGGUUAAAUUUAUAAAAGAAAUAUAUCAAAUGAUAGAGAUUUCCCGCAUUUACGAGGAACGAGUAAAAUUUUUUUCAAUUUUUGAGGGUAAUGUCUUCGAUUAGAUACGAUUUGUGAUCUUUUGACGUAUCGUUGAAAAAAAUCGGUUCGGAGAGAGAAGUGAAUAAGUGGUAACAGACACAUAAAAAAUAAAUAAAUAAAAAAACAAAAAAAACACAUCAUAGUAAAACUAGCUCAGCUUUGCAUCGAAGCUAAAAGUUAGCAUUCUGGAAUGUUUUUAAAUAUUUUAAUUUUAAAUAUAAAACAAGAAUUUUAAAUUUUUUUAGUUUAAAUAAUUUUACAACGGAAUAGAAUUAAAAAAGUUAUGAUGAAAAUUUCUUGGAAGCUGUGCCCAGGUACUAAUAGAACUUUUUUAAUUUGUAUUAACAAUAUCAGGUUAUUACUGAGCAAUAUUAGUUAUGCAUGAAUAUGCUACUACUAAUUAAUCCUAUUGCAAAUUUUUAAUUAGAGUUUUACAUGAGGAAACUAGUUAGUUUAUGAAUUUUUCGAGAGAUGCAAAACACAAAUAUAAAUAAGUAAAAGCUCAACUAUUUACGCA